GGCAACCUUGGAGAUCUCAGUGGCUUUGCUUCAGCACAUCUCCUUCUCGAGGUGUCUCCUUGAGGACUGAGAGAGAAUUCACUUUCAUGUACGUGAGCGCAAGGAGGACCCUCUUUGGAGUUUUCUCCUUUUCUUUUCUUGAUUUUGCUAGAAAACAGACGUCUCUGUAUAGAAGCCAGUCGAUCGCCCUAGUGUCAUCACCCUGCCUGCUGGCUGGGCAGGGUAACUCCUCAGAUCACCAUCCUCACCAGCCUGCCUUGGGCUUGGAGAGUGAGGAGGAGAGCGAGGGACAUCUGCUGACCCUGAACAUCUGCCAUCCAUCAUACCAUCACCUAAAGCAAGAUGUCCAGGCUCCUGCGGAGGUUCAGGAGGAAGGCUCUGCAGGUGGCCCAGAGCCUGAGGGAAGCAGCUGCCAUCUUCCCAAGGGGCAGAGCCACCUCUCCGUCCCCGCUCCAGGCCAAAAGGCGGAAGUGCCCAACCUUCUGGCAAACAAAGCCAGCUCCCGGCACAGGCACCGAGCUGGGAGAGGCCCUGACCAGGCCCAGAUGGAGCUGGCUCAGGAUGCAGUUUCACAGACAGGACUCAGCCCAGGUGGAAGAUCCCUGUCCCAGCACCAGCAGCUCAGCCUGGGACAGCAGCAGCGCCUGGGACUCUGGCAGAAGCGACGCCGAUGGACGCUGCUGCUUUGUUCCAGGGACCCCCAGGGAUUCAGAGGAGGAGGAAUGGCUGGACAUGUCCACAGAUGAAGCUGCUCUCAAGGUCAUCAGAGAGCAGCUCCAGUGCAGAGAAAAGGAGCUCAUUGAGGAGCUUCCUAAAGACUCUCCACCCAGUGCCAUCCUCGCCAACUCCCUGGUUGCAGUGGGCAACCUCAGCACCAUGAAACCAGCCCUUGAGCCUGACCUAGAGACCCACCUCUUGCGAGCUGCCCUUCGCUCCGUCUUCACCCUGGGCACGGAGAAGGACACCAUCAACAUCCAGGCUCUGCACAAAGUCAUGCCAGAGCUCCUGGAUGCCAUGCUGGGGAACCUGCUGGCAGAGUCCCCAGACGGAGACAGGUUCCACUCCAUCUUGGAGCAUGUCAACCUCUGGAUCGUGUCCAGGGUGUCCCAGGAGAGAGCCAGGGCCAUUAGGAGCAGCAUGGCCCUGCUCAGAUUAGCAGUCACCCUCCCUGAGUUUGACAUCUCAGCAGAGUUCCCUAGGAUGGGUCACCAUGUGGCACAGCUGGCUCUGUUUGUUAGUGACCCAGACAAGGACAUCAGCCGGCAGGCCAGGGAGGGGACUUACCGGCUGUACCAGCUGCUGCUCCAACAGAGGGGGCUGACCAUACAUGAGGCAGAAGAUCUGUGGUGCCACGACUGGCACCAGGACAGCAGGCUCCUGGGCUAUGAGAACACAGCCAGGGUGGGGGAGGUAAGGACACUAUGGCAGGGUAUGACACAGCUCAGGGCGUGGAACUGGCUGGGGUCCCUGCAGUAGAUGCCUCCUGGAGACAGGACAAGAGCCCACUCCUUAUUUACAGCUCAGAGUUCCUCAUCCAGCACCCAGUGGGACAGGCUGGUGCUAAAGGUCCCACAUCGGAACCUCGCUAGUUGCCAUGAUUUGAGUGUCUUACAUGGAGCCAUUGCUAUGUGGCAUGAGGAGAAUCCCCAGGUGGAUUGCCGCUCGGAGGAGUUACCGGUGGACAAGGCAAACGGAAAACACGGCGCUCAGCUCGACGAGGCCUUUCUAGACGCCUUAAAGAACUUGCGUAUCAGUAACCCGGUGGGAGUAAAUAGAUCGAACAUUAGCUGUUUUUGCUCAUGUCCUUUUCACCGCCAAAAAAAGGACAAAAUGGAAGAAUGAACCAGCUCAGACUUACCAGGGGGUGAUGGCGUCCAUUUUACAGGCGUCUGUAAAAACAAAAUGGAAGAAUGAACCAGCUUAGACUUACCGUGGGGGUGAUGGCGGCCAUUUUACAACUGUCUGUAAAAACAAAACAAACAAACAAACAAAAAGAUUAUGUUAAACCAGGCAAUUAAUAAAUUGUAUUUAAAAUGUGUCAAUAUGAGUGUGUCCAUUUUUAUACUUGUGGUAGUAAAAGACGGUACCGGUAGCAGGCAUGUCUACGCCGACGGCUCUUUUAAAGAAAAUAUAUUACAAUCCCAGGGAAGUUGGGAGCUUUGGUGGAGUGAACCCUUUUUUUCAAGAGGCUAGAAAGCAUAGUAAAACUUUAAAUAGAAGACAAGUAACAGCUUGGCUUUUAGACCAGGAUGCUUACACUUUACACAAACCGGCUCGAAUACAUUUUAAAAGAAACAAGACCAUUGUUUCAGAUGUGGAUGCACAGUGGCAGGCAGAUUUGGUGGAUAUGCACCGAUUCUCCAAACACAACAGCGGUUUUAAGUACAUCUUAACAGUGAUAGACAUUUUAUCCAAAUAUGCCUGGGCCUUAGGCCUAAAAGACAAGACGGGUGGUGAAGUAUCCAAGGCCUUUAAAGCUAUUUUUAGCGAAGGGCGCGUGCCUCAAAAAUUACAAACCGA